GCAAAGUGAAUCACCGCAAGCCGACAUAUCUUCCACCUAGCAGCGAUUCUAUCAAAAAUCCCGUCAAAAUUCUCUUCCUUCUUCAAUUAAAUGGUAGAAAUGAGCGUCAAGUGAAACGAUUUCUCAAAUCAAUUUAUCUUCCACAUCAUUAUUACUAUAUCCACGUGGAUGCACGUCAGAAUUACAUGUUCUCAGAAAUGCAAAAAGUUGCUGAUUUUCUGGAUAAUAUUCAUAUAACCGAACGGAGAUUCAGCACAAUUUGGGGUGGAGCAUCACUUUUACAAAUGUUUCUGCAAGUGAUUAGGGAUUCGAUGAAAAUUGAGAAAUUCAAGGAUUGGGAUUAUAUUAUUAAUUUCUCGGAAAGUGAUUUCCCGAUUCUACCGAUUUCCGAUUUUGAGAGACUUAUCACUGUG
rnacentral:sRNA from 1 species